rnacentral:tRNA from 2 species
UGGGGGAUGGUCUAAUGGCAAGACAGCGGACUCUGACUCCGCUUAUCUAGGUUCGAAUCCUAGUCCCCCAGCCA